GGGUUUAAAGGGUCCGUAGGCGGAUCGGUAAGUCAGUGGUGAAAUCUCAUAGCUCAACUAUGAAACUGCCGUGAUACUGCCGGUCUUGAGUAAAUUUGAAGUGGCUGGAAUAAGUAGUGUAGCGGUGAAAUGCAUAGAUAUUACUUAGAACACCAAUUGCGAAGGCAGGUCACUAAGAUUUAACUGACGCUGAGGGACGAAAGCGUGGGGAGCGAACAGGAUUAGAUACCCUGGUAGUCCACGCCGUAAACGAUGCUAACUCGUUUUUGGGGCGCAAGCCUCAGAGACCAAGCGAAAAUGAUAAGUUAGCCACCUGGGGAGUACGUUCGCAAGAAUGAAACUCAAAGGAAUUGACGGGGGCCCGCACAAGCGGUGGAGCAUGUGGUUUAAUUCGAUGAUACGCGAGGAACCUUACCAAGACUUAAAUGGGAACUGAUCGGUUUAGAAAUAGACCUUCCUUCGGGCAGUUUUCAAGGUGCUGCAUGGUUGUCGUCAGCUCGUGCCGUGAGGUGUUAGGUUAAGUCCUGCAACGAGCGCAACCCCUGUCACUAGUUGCUAACAUUAAGUUGAGGACUCUAGUGAGACUGCCUACGCAAGUAGAGAGGAAGGUGGGGAUGACGUCAAAUCAUCACGGCCCUUACGUCUUGGGCCACACACGUGCUACAAUGGUAGGUACAGAGGGCAGCUACCUGGUGACAGGAUGCAAAUCUCGAAAGCCUAUCUCAGUUCGGAUUGGAGUCUGCAACUCGACUCUAUGAAGCUGGAAUCGCUAGUAAUCGCGCAUCAGCCAUGGCGCGGUGAAUACGUUCCCGGGCCUUGCACACACCGCCCGUC
rnacentral:rRNA from 1 species